GAUGAACGCUGGCGGCGUGCCUAAUACAUGCAAGUCGAGCGAACGGACGAGAAGCUUGCUUCUCUGAUGUUAGCGGCGGACGGGUGAGUAACACGUGGAUAACCUACCUAUAAGACUGGGAUAACUUCGGGAAACCGGAGCUAAUACCGGAUAAUAUUUUGAACCGCAUGGUUCAAAAGUGAAAGACGGUCUUGCUGUCACUUAUAGAUGGAUCCGCGCUGCAUUAGCUAGUUGGUAAGGUAACGGCUUACCAAGGCAACGAUGCAUAUCCGACCUGAGAGGGUGAUCGGCCACACUGGAACUGGGACACGGUCCAGGCUCCUACGGGAGGCAGCAGUAGGGAAUCUUCCGCAAUGGGCGAAAGCCUGACGGAGCAACGCCGCGUGAGUGAUGAAGGUCUUCGGAUCGUAAAACUCUGUUAUUAGGGAAGAACAUAUGUGUAAGUAACUGUGCACAUCUUGACGGUACCUAAUCAGAAAGCCACGGCUAACUACGUG
rnacentral:rRNA from 1 species